rnacentral:rRNA from 1 species
GACGAACGCUGGCGGCGUGCUUAACACAUGCAAGUCGAACGCUGAAGCUCAGCUUUUGUUGGGUGGAUGAGUGGCGAGCGGGUGAGUAACACGUGAGUAACCUGCCCCCUUCUUUGGGAUAACGCCCGGAAACGGGUGCUAAUACUGGAUAUUCACUGGUCUUCGCAUGGGGGUUGGUGGAAAGGGUUUUUCUGGUGGGGGAUGGGCUCGCGGCCUAUCAGCUUGUUGGUGGGGCGAUGUCCUACCAAGGCUUUGACGGGUAGCCGGCCUGAGAGGGUGACCGGUAACAGUGGGACUGAGAUAGGGACCAGACUACGAAGGGAGGGAGAAGUGGGGAAGAUUGCACAAUGGGGGAAAGACUGAUGCAGCGACGCCGAGUGAGGGAUGGAGGCCUUCGGGUUGUGAACCUCUUUCGCAAAUGGUAAAGCCGAAACAAUGGUUGUGGUGAGGGUAGUGGGUAAAGAAGCGCCGGCUAACUACGUG